rnacentral:tRNA from 1 species
ACUAGCCUUAGCUCAAUUGAUAGAACAUCGGAGUACCAAUCCGGAGGCCGCCAGUUCGAAUCCCGCAGUCAGUC